UGCGCAGGCGGACCUAUCAGUCAGUGGUGAAAUCCCGGGGCUCAACUCCGGAACUGCCAUUGAUACUGUAGGUCUUGAGUUUGGUUGAAGUGGGCGGAAUGUAGCAUGUAGCGGUGAAAUGCAUAGAUAUGCUACAGAACACCGAUCGCGAAGGCAGCUCACUAAACCAAAACUGACGCUCAGGCACGAAAGCGUGGGGAGCGAACAGGAUUAGAUACCCUGGUAGUCC
rnacentral:rRNA from 1 species